rnacentral:rRNA from 1 species
CUGCUAUCGGAUUGAUACUAAGCCAUGCGAGUCUUUGUAGUAAUACAAGGCAGACGGCUCAGUAACACGUAGUCAACCCACCCUAUGGACAAGAAUAAUCUCGGGAAACUGGGCAUAAUUCUUGAUAGAUCAUAAUGCCUGGAAUGGUUUAUGGUUAAAAUGAUUCGUCGCCAUAGGAUGGGACUGCGGCCUAUCAGCUUGUUGGUGAGGUAAUGGCCCACCAAGGCGAUUACAGGUACGGGCUCUGAGAGGAGAAGCCCGGAGAUGGGUACUGAGACACGGACCCAGGCCCUAUGGGGCGCAGCAGGCGAGAAAACUUUGCAAUGUGCGGAAGCACGACAAGGUUAAUCCGAGUGAUUUCUGCUAAAGAAAUCUUUUGCCAGUCAUAAAACCACUGGUGAAUAAGGGGUGGGCAAGUUCUGGUGUCAGCCGCCGCGGUAAAACCAGCACCUCAAGUGGUCAGGAUGAUUAUUGGGCCUAAAGCAUCCGUAGCCGGCUUUGUAAGUUUUCGGUUAAAUCCAUGUGCUCAACGCAUGGGCUGCCGAAAAUACUGCAUGGCUAGGGAGUGGGAGAGGUAGACGGUACUCAGUAGGAAGGGGUAAAAUCCUUUGAUCUAUUGAUGACCACCUGUGGCGAAGGCGGUCUACCAGAACACGUUCGACGGUGAGGGAUGAAAGCUGGGGGAGCAAACCGGAUUAGAUACCCGGGUAGUCCCAGCUGUAAACGAUGCAGACUCGAUGAUGCAUUGGCAUAAUAGCCAGUGCAGUGUCGCAGGGAAGCCGUUAAGUCUGCCGCCUGGGAAGUACGUACGCAAGUAUGAAACUUAAAGGAUUGGCGGGGAGCACCACAAGGGUGAAGCCUGCGGUUCA